GAAAAUACGCCACCCUUUUUUUCCAAGUGCCCAAACACUUGAAUGAUUCAAUUAAGCCGCAUCUUAGAUCUAAUUUGUUUGUGUUUCAAUUUCAAUCCAAUCCAUUAUUAAAUUCAAGUGUUUUGGCGAUUGACUUUUUGGUUCGCGACAGCUUCAUGAGACUUUGCUUUGUUUCCUCAUUUGAAAGUUUUGGCCGUCCGGUGUGUUCGUUUUUCGCAGACCGCGUGAGUUCGCUGCCGCCAUGUUCCAGUCCAGUAAAUUGCCUGCCCGGAUUGUGACCGUGAAGAUGAGCAUCGCCACAAGACUGCGUCCUCGGGCUCGGGCUCCGUAUGGCCAGCGGAAGGGCUUGGUCUCCCGGAUUCCCGGAUAGAAGCCAACUUUUGUGAUAAAGUUCCUUUCCGGACUGUUUGGUGAGUGGAGAGAGAAUUUUUGUUGUGGGGUUUUGUUUUGAUUUUUGGAUUUAUUUUGUAUGAUUCACAGGAAGGAUGCGAAAGAGCUGCAGAUGCCGUACCAGGAAGCGGUGCCAGUGAGAAGCAAGAUUCGGAUGCAGGGGCCAAGCUAUGCGUCAUUCGGAUGGUCAAGGCACAGUUUGGGUCGAUGGAACCACCGCGGUUCUACCAAAGAGAAUUCCGCAUCAACAAGAAGAUUCUCCAGUGGCCUCCAUCUCCGCCGGCACCGGUGCUUCACUCGCCGACGCUGAGGAACCUCCCAGGAAGCAGUGGUGGUGUCGGGACAACCGGAUGAAAAAAAAUACAAACUUUUUACACACCAAGUUGUUCUUGAAGUUAGAAAAUAAAAGCAGCCAAAAAAUUUAAUUGCGCAACAUCUUCUUUAUU